ACGAACGCUGGCGGCAUGCCUCACACCUGCCAGUCGCACGAGACCUUCGGGUCUAGUGGCGCACGGGUGCGUAACGCGUGGGAACCUGCCUUUAGGUUCGGAAUAACUCAGAGAAAUUUGAGCUAAUACCGGAUGAUGUCUUCGGACCAAAGAUUUAUCGCCUUUAGAUGGGCCCGCGUUGGAUUAGCUAGUUGGUGGGGUAAAGGCCUACCAAGGCGACGAUCCAUAGCUGGUCUGAGAGGAUGAUCAGCCACACUGGGACUGAGACACGGCCCAGACUCCUACGGGAGGCAGCAGUGGGGAAUAUUGGACAAUGGGCGAAAGCCUGAUCCAGCAAUGCCGCGUGAGUGAUGAAGGCCUUAGGGUUGUAAAGCUCUUUUACCCGAGAUGAUAAUGACAGUAUCGGGAGAAUAAGCUCCGGCUAACUCCGUG
rnacentral:rRNA from 1 species